rnacentral:rRNA from 1 species
GGGGGGGGGGGGGGGGGGGGGGGGGGGGGGGGGGGGGGGGGGGGGGGGGGGGGGCUGGGGGCGCUGGGGUUGGGGGGGGGCGGGGGGGUGACGCGUGGGGAACCUACCUAUCGGACUGGGAUGACUUCGGGAAACCGGGGCUAAGACCGGAUGAUAUGUUGCACCGCAUGGUUCACGAGUGAAAGACGGUCUUUCUGUCACUUAUAGAUGGAUCCCCGCUGCAUUAGCUAGUUUGUACGGUAACGGCUUACCAAGGCAACGAUGCAUAGCCGACCUGAGAGGGUGAUCGGCCACACUGGAACUGAGACACGGUCCAGACUCCUACGAGAGGCAGCAGUCGGGAAUCUUCCGCAAUGGGCGAAAGCCUGACGGAGCAACGCCGCGUGAGUGAUGAAGGUCUUCGGAUCGUAAAACUCUGUUAUUAGGGAAGAACAUAUGUGUAAGUAACUGUGCACAUCUUGACGGUACCUAAUCAGAAAGCCACGGCUAACUACGUG